rnacentral:rRNA from 1 species
UCCUACGGGAGGCAGCAGUGGGGAAUAUUGCGCAAUGGGGGAAACCCUGACGCAGCCAUGCCGCGUGAGUGAAGAAGGUCUUCGGAUUGUAAAGCUCUUUCAACGGGGAAGAUGAUGACGGUACCCGUAGAAGAAGCCCCGGCUAACUUCGUGCCAGCAGCCGCGGUAAUACGAAGGGGGCAAGCGUUGUUCGGAAUUACUGGGCGUAAAGGGCGUGUAGGCGGUGCGAUCAGUCAGAGGUGAAAGCCCCGGGCUCAACCUGGGAAUUGCCUUUGAUACUGUCACACUAGAGUUCGGGAGAGGGUAGUGGAAUUCCCAGUGUAGAGGUGAAAUUCGUAGAUAUUGGGAAGAACACCGGUGGCGAAGGCGGCUACCUGGACCGAUACUGACGCUGAGGCGCGAAAGCGUGGGGAGCAAACAGGAUUAGAUACCCUGGUAGUCCACGCCGUAAACGAUGUCUGCUAGUCGUUGGGGGGCGCAGCCCUUCAGUGACGCCGCUAACGCAUUAAGCAGACCGCCUGGGGAGUACGGCCGCAAGGUUAACACUCAAAGGAAUUGACGGGGAA